rnacentral:lncRNA from 1 species
UCGUAAAAGAUAAAACAGUAAGCUUAAAACCCUAAAUCCAAAACAUAAAUAGAGUAAAAAAACAAAAAAAGAGAACGAGAUCUCAUCUCGGUGGCCGACGGCAGCAGGGACAGUGGAAGAAGCAGAUCUCGACAGCAGAACAAACAGAAACGGUGGCUGAAGGCUAAAGCAGAGGACAAACGGUGGAAGGCUGAGGGCGAAGGACGGAAGGUUUGGGUGGGAGGGCAGGUGAGGGUUUCUUUAAUUAUUUUUAAUUAUUUUUUCUUUGGGUUGACUUGUUUUUAGGCUUUUGGCCAUUGGGCCAAUAUCCCACUCUAAACUAGCCCAUUUUUCAAAAACUGGUCUGACUGGGUUUUUUAUGAGUUUUUUAUUUCUAGUUCAACUCCAGUUUUUUUCAUUUCCUGGUUCAAAGGGGUUUUUGUUGUUGAUCAGACCGAUAACAUGUCGGCUCCCAAUUCGAUCAGUCCAACUAGCGUAUCCAAUUUUUAAAGCAUUAGAUAAAAAUUUAAAAAGUACAUAUAAUUGACUAAAUACAUGAGAGGCCUAAAAUAUGCCCGGAUAGUAGAAGGUGUGGUAAAUUCUAGUGUUUGCAUG